rnacentral:rRNA from 1 species
CCUACGGGGGGCAGCAGUGGGGAAUAUUGCACAAUGGGGGGAACCCUGAUGCAGCCAUGCCGCGUGUGUGAAGAAGGCCUUCGGGUUGUAAAGCACUUUCAGUAAGGAGGAAAGGGAUGUAGUUAAUGACUGCAUUCUGUGACGUUACUUACAGAAGAAGCACCGGCUAACUUCGUGCCAGCAGCCGCGGUAAUACGAGGGGUGCAAGCGUUAAUCGGAAUUACUGGGCGUAAAGCGUUCGUAGGCGGUUGAUUAAGCAAGAUGUGAAAGCCCAGGGCUCAACCUUGGAACUGCAUUUUGAACUGUUCAACUAGAGUACUGUAGAGGGUGGUGGAAUUUCCAGUGUAGCGGUGAAAUGCGUAGAGAUUGGAAGGAACAUCAGUGGCGAAGGCGGCCACCUGGACAGAUACUGACGCUGAGGAACGAAAGCGUGGGGAGCGAACAGGAUUAGAUACCCUGGUAGUCACGCCGUAAACGAUGUCAACUAGCCGUUUGUGUCCUAGAGACGUGAGUGGCGCAGCUAACGCACUAAGUUGACCGCCUGGGGAGUACGGCCGCAAGGUUAAAACUCAAAUGAAUUGACGGGGGCCCGCACAAGCGGUGGAGCAUGUGGUUUAAUUCGAUGCAACGCGAAGAACCUUACCAUCCCUUGACAUCCAGAGAAGAGACUAGAGAUAGACUUUUGCCUUCGGGAACUCUGUGACAGGUGCUGCAUGGCUGUCGUCAGCUCGUGUUGUGAAAUGUUGGGUUAAGUCCCGCAACGAGCGCAACCCCUAUCCUUAUUUGCCAGCGAGUUAUGUCGGGAACUCUAAGGAGACUGCCGGUGAUAAACCGGGGGAAGGUGGGGACGACGUCAAGUCAUCAUGGCCCUUACGGGAUGGGCUACACACGUGCUACAAUGGCAGGUACAGAGGGCAGCGAUGCCGCGAGGUGGAGCGAAUCCCAGAAAGCUUGUCGUAGUCCGGAUUGGAGUCUGCAACUCGACUCCAUGAAGUCGGAAUCGCUAGUAAUCGUAGAUCAGAAUGCUACGGUGAAUACGUUCCCAGGCCUUGUACACACCGCCCGUC